AUGAGCACUUCCCUCUUUCUACUGCUAAUACCUCUCCCUAUACAACCAAGCAUUCUGCUAGCAUUUCCUGCUGCUCUAUUACAUUGUCUGCCUACCUUUAAGUCAUCAGAAAUAAUCACCCCUAAAUCCCUUUCCUCAUAUGUUGAGGUUAGAACUCUAUCAAAUAUUCUGUACUCUGUCCUUGGGUUUUUACGUCCAAGAUGCAUUAUCUUGCACUUAUCCACAUUAAAUGUCAGUUGCCACAAUUCUGACCAUUUUUCUAGUUUACCUAAAUCAUUUGUCAUUUGGCUUAUCCCUCCUGGAACAUCAACCCUGUUACAUAUCUUAGUAUCAUCAGCAAAAAGACAUACCUUACCAUCAAG